CACGUAGGGGGCGAGCGUUGUCCGGAUUUAUUGGGCGUAAAGAGCUCGUAGGCGGCUCAGUAAGUCGGGUGUGAAAACUCCAGGCUCAACCUGGAGACGCCACCUGAUACUGCUGUGGCUAGAGUCCGGUAGGGGAGCAUGGAAUUCCUGGUGUAGCAGUGAAAUGCGUAGAGAUGCGGAGGAACACCGAUGGCGAAGGCAGCCCCCUGGGCUAACACUGACGCUCAGGCACGAAAGGCGUGGGGAGCAAACAGG
rnacentral:rRNA from 1 species